rnacentral:rRNA from 1 species
GCUUCGGGAGGGGCCUGCGUCCGAUUAGCUCGUUGGUGGGGUAAUGGCUCACCAAGGCGACGAUCGGUAGGUGGUCUGAGAGGACGAUCACCCAGACUGGGACUGAGACACGGCCCAGACUCCUACGGGAGGCAGCAGUCGGGAAUUUUGCUCAAUGGGCGAAAGCCUGAAGCAGCAACGCCGCGUGAGGGAUGAAUGCCUUCGGGUUGUAAACCUCUUUUAUCAGGGAAGAUAAUGACGGUACCUGAUGAAUAAGUCACGGCUAACUACGUGCCAGCAGCCGCGGUAAUACGUAGGUGACUAGCGUUGUCCGGAUUUACUGGGCGUAAAGAGCGCGCAGGCGGUCGUUCAAGUCGAGUGUGAAAGCCCCCGGCUCAACUGGGGAGGGUCACUUGAUACUGAUCGACUGGAAGGCAGGAGAGGGAAGCGGAAUUCCCGGUGUAGUGGUGAAAUGCGUAGAUAUCGGGAGGAACACCAGUGCGAAGGCGGCUUCCUGGCCUGUUCUUGACGCUGAGGCGCGAAAGCUAGGGGAGCAAACGGGAUUAGAUACCCCGGUAGUCCUAGCCGUAAACGAUGGACACUAGGUGUUGGUGGUAUCUACCCCACCAGUGCCGAAGCUAACGCAUUAAGUGUCCCGCCUGGGGAGUACGGCCGCAAGGCUAAAACUCAAAGGAAUUGACGGGGCCCCGCACAAGCAGCGGAGCGUGGGGUUUAAUUCGAUACAACGCGAAGAACCUUACCAGGGCUUGACAUGACCAGGAAUCCGGCGGAAACGUCGGCGCCCCGCAAGGGGCCUGGCCACAGGUGUUGCAUGGCUGUCGUCAGCUCGUGUCGUGAGAUGUUGGGUUAAGUCCCGCAACGAGCGCAACCCCUACUGUGUGUUGUAUCACUCACACGGGUCUGCCGAGAGAAACUCGGAGGAAGGCGGGGAUGACGUCAAGUCAGCAUGGCCCUUACGUCCUGGGCUACACCCACGCUACAAUGGCCGGUACAACGGGCGGCGAAACCGCGAGGUGGAGCAAAUCCCUUAAAGCCGGUCUCAGUUCGGGUUGUAGGCUGCAACUCGCCUACAUGAAGCCGGAGUUGCUAGUAACCGCCGGUCAGCAUACGGCGGUGAAUAUGUUCCCGGGGCUUGUACACACCGCCCGUCACGUCAUGAAAGCUGGCAACACCCGAAGCCGGUGGGCCAACCCGCAAGGGAGACAGCCGUCGAA